GAAGGCAGCGUUGUGAACAGGUAUUUUACAAAACCCAUCUGGUAUCAGCACCCUUUACUCAUGAAGAACCCCGUGGCUUGACCAAGAGCAGGGUCCUUCCAGCCCAACCUCUGUGUCUGCUGCUGCCUAAGCACAUCAGGGCUGAGGUGUAAGCAGAGCUGUCUUCCCAGAUCUACAGAAGAUCCCUUAGCCUUACUUCCCAAUUUGAUAAUAUCUCCCUCACUGAGGAUUAUGGCUGUCAAACCAAAGGUGGUGUAACAUUUCCUGUUACCUGAUCUUGCCUGGUGAUAUUUUCUCAUGUCCUGCAAAGGAACCCUUGUGGAGAAGAAGGUUGCAUAAAAAGCAAUCUACAGAGCCAGAAAUGUGGCAAAGCCCAGAGUCAAGCAAACACACCACUGAUAACUGCAUCUCUGGAAAGAGGUGCUACAAGUCUGAAGAAGAAAGGUGUUCAAAGAAGCUGGAAGGAAUGGGAGAAGGGACACACAGAGGGCCAACUUUCUCACAACAGCUGUCUUGGAGCUCCACUGA